AUUGAACGCUGGCGGCAGGCCUAACACAUGCAAGUCGAACGAGUGGCGGACGGGUGAGUAAUGUCUGGGAAACUGCCUGAUGGUGGGGGAUAACUACUGGAAACGGUAGCUAAUAACGCAUACCAUCUGAUGUGCGCAGAUGGGAUUAGCUAGUAUGUGGGGUAAAGGCUCACCUAGGCAACGCUCCCUAGAUGGUCUGUGAGGAUGACCAGCCACCCUGGAACUGAAACACGGUCCGGACUCAGAUGCGAGGCAGGAGAGGGGAAAAUUGCACUAUGUGCGGGGGCCUGACGUAGCCAAGCCGAGUGGAUGAAGAAGGGCUGCGGGUUUGGAUGGAAUUUCAGCGGGGAAGCGUUACUAUAAGAAGAAGCACCGGCUAACUCCGUGCCAGCAGCCGCGGUAAUUC
rnacentral:rRNA from 1 species